rnacentral:rRNA from 1 species
GACGAACGCUGGCGGCGUGCUUAACACAUGCAAGUCUAACGAAGUGGCUAACGGGUGCGUAAUACGUGGGUAACCUGCCCUCCUUUUUGGGAUAAGCCUUGGAAACGGGGUCUAAUACCGAAUAAAGGGGGCUGGGCUCGCGGCCUAUCAGCUGGUUGGUGGGGUGAUGGCCUACAAAGGCGGUGACGGGUAGCCGACCUGAGAGGGUGACCGACCACAUUGGGACUGAGAAACGGCCAAGACUCGUACGGGAGGCAGCAGUGGGGGGUAUUGCACAAUGGGCGCAAGCCUGAUGCAGCCAUGACGCGUGUAUGAAGAAGGCAUUCGGGUUGUAAAGUACUUUCAGCGAGGAAGCGUUACUCGCAGAAGAAGCACCGGCUAACUCCGUGCCAGCAGCCGCGGUAAUUC